UACGAAGGGGGCUAGCGUUGUUCGGAAUUACUGGGCGUAAAGCGCGUGUAGGCGGGGCUUUAAGUCAGGGGGGAAAUGCCAAGGCUCAACCUUGGAACUGCCUUUGAUACUGGAGAUCUUGAGUCCGGGAGAGGUGAGUGGAAUUGCGAGUGUAGAGGUGAAAUUCGUAGAUAUUCGCAAGAACACCAGUGGCGAAGGCGGCUCACUGGCCCGGUACUGACGCUGAGGUGCGAAAGCGUGGGGAGCAAACAGG
rnacentral:rRNA from 1 species